UGGGGAAUAUUGCACAAUGGGGGAAACCCUGAUGCAGCAACGCCGCGUGAAGGAAGACGGUUUUCGGAUUGUAAACUUCUUUUCUUAGUGAAGAAGCAAGUGACGGUAGCUAAGGAAUAAGCAUCGGCUAACUACGUGCCAGCAGCCGCGGUAAUACGUAGGAUGCGAGCGUUAUCCGGAAUUACUGGGUGUAAAGGGAGCGCAGGCGGGACUGCAGGUUGGAUGUGAAAUACCGCAGCUUAACUGCGGAGCUGCAUCCAAAACUGUAGUUCUUGAGUGGAGUAGAGGCAAGCGGAAUUCCGAGUGUAGCGGUGAAAUGCGUAGAUAUUCGGAGGAACACCAGUGGCGAAGGCGGCUUGCUGGGCUCUAACUGACGCUGAGGCUCGAAAGUGUGGGGAGCAAACAGGAUUAGAUACCC
rnacentral:rRNA from 1 species